CCUGCAAAGUAAGAUUUUUAAAUGGCAUUCUUCAUUUGAUAAAACCAUUUCGUAUGAAGUAGUUUUUUUUUUUGUUGCUGUUGUUGUUUUGUUUUUUUAAUAAAGAGACCAGGGGAGAGCGCGAACGCAGUCCCCACUACCACAAAUCAUGCAGUCGAGUUUCCCACAUUUGGGGAAAUCGCAGGGCUCAACACAUCAGGAGUGCAAUGGAUAAGCCUCGCCCUGGGAAAACCACCUUCGUGAUCAUGGUAUCUCCCCUGCCAGAUGGGAAGAGCACA